CCGUGUCCACCAUGGCCUGGGCCUCUCUCCUCCUUCUACUCUGCUACUUCUCAGGCAGGGAUGGGCCUCCACGUCCUGGAGCAGCCUCCUGGCCCCAGUCAGUGCCCUCUGUCCCAUGUCCCUACGCAGCUCCACUUUUCUCCCUGGUUUCUCAACCAUGAACAUCCGUGUUUACAGGUUCCCUCUCCCAGCCUGUGCUGACUCAGCCACCCUCCCUCUCUGCCACUCCUGGAGCAUCAGCCAGACUCACCUGCACCCUGAGCAGCGGCUUUGUUGUUGGUGGCUAUCACAUGUCCUGGUACCAGCAGAAGCCAGGGAGCCCUCCCCGGUAUCUCCUGAGGUUCAAGUCUGACUCAGAUAAGCACCAGGGCUCCGGAGUCCCCAGCCGCUUCUCUGGAUCCAAAGAUGCCUCGGCCAAUGCAGGGAUCCUGUACAUCUCCGGGCUGCAGGCAGAGGACGAGGCUGACUAUUACUGUGGCACAUUACAUACCAACAGUGGCAAGUACACAGUGCUCCAGACCCAGGGGGAAGUGACAGAAAACCUCCCCUGGUAUCAGACACAGCUGCCCUGCCUGGGGCCAAAUUAAACUAAAGAUUGAGGUCUGUUAUUACUUUUUUCACCAGCGCUUAAUUUUUCCAAGAAUUAUGAAU